rnacentral:lncRNA from 1 species
AAACUAGUUCUGCUGACAGGCUUCACACACUCCUCUCAGAGGUUGGAUGAUAACAGCUCACACUGCAACGUGCACAAGUUCGCUUGGAUUAAAAACAAAAAACAAUCCUGAGAGGUGCUGACUGUGUCCACUCACACAUAUGGAAGCUGUGAUAGGACUUCUGCUUGUGUUGCUCCAAGUUUCAUUUGGUGUGGAAAAUCACUGUGAUGGCAGACAGAAUAACGCUCAGUGUUAUGCAGCUUUGGAUGGAUCUAUAUUCAUCAGGCUGAUGGACAGCGCUGUAGAAAAUCAUACAUACAUGUGGUCUAAAUAUAAAAGUAUAUUAUUGGUAGUGAAGAAUAAACAUGUUAUAAUGAAUACUUUAGAGAAGAGAGCAGAUUUUACUACACAAAAUGGUAUUUAUAGAAUAAAUCAACUAAAGUCGAGUGACAGUGGCCAGUAUCGACUUGAUGUUUUUGUAGAUGGGGGACAAAAAGAAGAACGGAAACUAAAUUUGUCUUUUCAAGGUCAGUUGUUUCUUUUUGGUUUGUCCAUAUAGAGUAAAGUGUACACUCAGAUUAUUUAUAAUCUGUAAACAAUCUCUUACACAGCUCCAGUAUCUUCUGUCCAGCUCGUCCCUACAUGUCUUUCUAUGGGGGAGAAGAAAGUUUCCUGCUCCUCUAAAGGGGACAGUCUUCUCUACAGCUGGACUCUGGAUGGACGCCCUCUGACAGACUCUGACCUCGUCCCAAAGGGCAGCAACACCAACAUUAUUCACCUGAAACUACAAACUGUAGGAAAACUGGUCUGUCAUGUCCAAAACAAAGUCAGCAAAAGCUCUGGUGAAGUGACGUUAACCACUUGUGGUGUGGAAAAUCACUGUGAUGGCAGACAGAAUAACGCUCAGUGUUAUGCAGCUUUGGAUGGAUCUAUAUUCAUCAGGCUGAUGGACAGCGCUGUAGAAAAUCAUACAUACAACUGGAAUAAAGAUAAAAGUAGAUUAUUGGUAGUGAAUAAUAAACGUGUUAUAACAAAUACUUUAGAGAAGAGAGCAGAUUUUACUACACAAAAUGGUAUUUAUAGAAUAAAUCAACUAAAGUCGAGUGACAGUGGCCAGUAUCGACUCGAAGUUUUUGUAGAUGGGGGAAAAAAAGAAGAAGAACGGAUACUAAAUUUGUCUGUUCAAGCUCCAGUAUCUUCUGUCCAGCUCGUCCCUACAUGUCUUUCUAUGGGGGAGAAGAAAGUUUCCUGCUCCUCUAAAGGGGACAGUCUUCUCUACAGCUGGACUCUGGAUGGACGUCCUCUGACAGACUCUGACCUCGUCCCAAAGGGCAGCAACACCAACAUUAUUCACCUGAAACUACAAACUGUAGGAAAACUGGUCUGUCAUGUCCAAAACAAUGUCAGCAAAAGCUCUGGUGAAGUGACGUUAACCACUUGUGGUUACAUCUUCAUAAACUGCACUUUGUCCAAUGGGACAGACAUAUUGCAGUGGGUGCUUGAGGCCACUAACACGUUGUGUGUUGACCCAACAACAGCCCCUAUGGGUGUGGAAAAUCACUGUGAUGGCAGACAGAAUAACGCUCAGUGUUAUGCAGCUUUGGAUGGAUCUAUAUUCAUCAGGCUGAUGGACAGCGCUGUAGAAAAUCAUAUAUACAUGUGGUUUAAAUAUACAAGUAAAUUAUUGGUAGUGAAUAAUAAACGUGUUAUAAUGAAUACUUUAGAGAAGAGAGCAGAUUUUACUACACAAAAUGGUAUUUAUAGAAUAAAUCAACUAAAGUCGAGUGACAGUGGCCAGUAUCGACUUGAAUAUUUUGUAGAUGGGGGAAAAAAAGAAGAACGGAAACUAAAUUUGUCUGUUCAAGCUCCAGUAUCUUCUGUCCAGCUCGUCCCUACAUGUCUUUCUAUGGGGGAGAAGAAAGUUUCCUGCUCCUCUAAAGGGGACAGUCUUCUCUACAGCUGGACUCUGGAUGGACGCCCUCUGACAGACUCUGACCUCGUCCCAAAGGGCAGCAACACCAACAUUAUUCACCUGAAACUACAAACUGUAGGAAAACUGGUCUGUCAUGUCCAAAACAAAGUCAGCAAAAGCUCUGGUGAAGUGACGUUAACCACUUGUGGUUACAUCUUCAUAAACUGCACUUUGUCCAAUGGGACAGACAUAUUGCAGUGGGUGCUUGAGGCCACUAACACGUUGUGUGUUGACCCAACAACAGCCCCUAUGGGUAAGGAGCCUCCCAUUGAUUCAGUUACUGUCACUUCUACCAAUGUGACAAGCAGCAGCCAUGACCUGUGCUCAUAUUCACAAAGCAUCCUAAGGCUAAAAGUAGCUCUUAGUGAUGUCACUCUUAGAAAAAUCUUAGAAUUCCUCAAAUUUUAAGAUUUUUCCUGGUUAAGAUAAAAGUAAUUCACAAAGCUUCCGAGGCCCUAAGAGAGCUCCUAAGGAGUAAAACUGUUAAUAGUAGUUAGGAGGACUUUUAGGAAGCCUAAAAGUGUCUUAAACAGACAGAAACAGAGAGUGGACGGAGCGAUAUUCUCUGUAUGUUUCAUGACAGUGAUUUAAUAACAUGCUACCAGCUUGUAUUUAUUAUUAUUAUUAUUAUUAUUAUUAUUAUUAUUA